UACGAAGGGGGCUAGCGUUGCUCGGAUUUACUGGGCGUAAAGGGCGCGUAGGCGGACAGUUAAGUUGGGGGUGAAAGCCCGGGGCUCAACCUCGGAAUUGCCUUCAAUACUGGCUGUCUUGAGUGUGAGAGAGGUGUGUGGAACUCCGAGUGUAGAGGUGAAAUUCGUAGAUAUUCGGAAGAACACCAGUGGCGAAGGCGACUCACUGGACACGUAUUGACGCUGAGGUGCGAAAGCGUGGGGAGCAAACAGG
rnacentral:rRNA from 1 species